AGCGUGGAGACAGGUGGUGCAUGGCUGUCGUCAGCUCGUGUCGUGAGAUGUUGGGUUAAGUCCCGCAACGAGCGCAACCCUCACCCUUUGUUGCCAUCAGGUUAUGCUGGGCACUCUAAGGGAACUGCCUCGGUUAACGAGGAGGAAGGUGGGGAUGACGUCAAGUCAUCAUGCCCCUUACGCUCUGGGCUACACACGUGCUACAAUGGCCAAUACAAAGGGCUGCAAACCCGCGAGGGCAAGCCAAUCCCAAAAAAUUGGUCUCAGUUCAGAUUGUAGGCUGCAACCCGCCUGCAUGAAGGAGGAAUCGCUAGUAAUCGUGGAUCAGCAUGCCACGGUGAAUACGUUCCCGGGCCUCGUACACACCGCCCGUCACACCACGAAAGUCUGCUGUACUCGAAGUCGCUGAG
rnacentral:rRNA from 1 species